GGGGAUGACUGGAUUUGACGGUAAGAUGGAGUGGUACGUAAGCAUGCAGAGAGUCGGUGCCCCUCUCUUAAAUCUCAGACAUCAAAGAAUUAAUUGGCGAAACUUCUUACGCUCUCGCUGCUUAAUCGAAGUAUAGUAGAUUAGCCUAAUUCCCUUGCCAGGCGAGGGAACGAGACAUCGCCCGGAAAGCUCACCGUCCCGAAGCGUUCCGAUCAGCGGUGCUGGAAAAUCGGGAAUAGUCCGUGCAUGCCUUGAUGCACUGAUGAAACUUUAGAGGAUAAGGGUGCAAUUGGUGGUUCUGGUCUUGUUGCAUCACGAAAAUCGAAGGCAGAAAUAAGCAUGUAGAAAGCGUAUGGCUUCCUUAUUCGGACGAGGGUUCAAUCCCCUCCAUCUCCACGA
rnacentral:tmRNA from 1 species